rnacentral:rRNA from 1 species
GGGACAACAUUCCGAAAGGGAUGCUAAUACCGAAUGUGCUCCCUCCUCCGCAUGGAGGAGGGAGGAAAGAUGGCCUCUGCUUGCAAGCUAUCGCUGGAAGAUGGGCCCGCGUCUGAUUAGCUAGUUGGUGGGGUAACGGCUCACCAAGGCGAUGAUCAGUAGCCGGUCUGAGAGGAUGAACGGCCACAUUGGGACUGAGACACGGCCCAAACUCCUACGGGAGGCAGCAGUGGGGAAUCUUCCGCAAUGGACGAAAGUCUGACGGAGCAACGCCGCGUGAGUGAUGAAGGUCUUCGGAUUGUAAAACUCUGUUGUUAGGGACGAGAGCACCGUGUUCGAACAGGUCAUGGUGUUGACGGUACCUAACGAGGAAGCCACGGCUAACUACGUGCCAGCAGCCGCGGUAAUACGUAGGUGGCAAGCGUUGUCCGGAAUUAUUGGGCGUAAAGAGCAUGUAGGUGGGCUUUUAAGUCUGACGUGAAAAUGCGGGGCUUAACCCCGUAUGGCGUUGGAUACUGGAAGUCUUGAGUGCAGGAGAGGAAAGGGGAAUUCCCAGUGUAGCGGUGAAAUGCGUAGAUAUUGGGAGGAACACCAGUGGCGAAGGCGCCUUUCUGGACUGUGUCUGACGCUGAGAUGCGAAAGCCAGGGUAGCAAACGGGAUUAGAUACCCCGGUAGUCCUGGCCGUAA